AACCUUACCUACCCUUGACAUGGUCGGAAUCCUGAAGAGAUUUGGGAGUGCUCGAAAGAGAACCGGCGCACAGGUGCUGCAUGGCUGUCGUCAGCUCGUGUCGUGAGAUGUUGGGUUAAGUCCCGCAACGAGCGCAACCCUUGUCAUUAGUUGCUACGAAAGGGCACUCUAAUGAGACUGCCGGUGACAAACCGGAGGAAGGUGGGGAUGACGUCAAGUCCUCAUGGCCCUUAUGGGUAGGGCUUCACACGUCAUACAAUGGUACAUACAGAGGGCCGCCAACCCGCGAGGGGGAGCUAAUCCCAGAAAGUGUUCUAGUCCGGAUUGUAGUCUGCAACUCGACUACAUGAAGUUGGAAUCGCUAGUAAUCGCGGAUCAG
rnacentral:rRNA from 1 species